AUACGUAGGUGGCAAGCGUUGUCCGGAAUUAUUGGGCGUAAAGCGCGCGCAGGUGGUUCCUUAAGUCUGAUGUGAAAGCCCCCGGCUCAACCGGGGAGGGUCAUUGGAAACUGGGGAACUUGAGUGCAGAAGAGGAUAGUGGAAUUCCAAGUGUAGCGGUGAAUGCGUAGAGAUUUGGAGGAACACCAGUGGCGAAGGCGACUGUCUGGUCUGUAACUGACACUGAGGCGCGAAAGCGUGGGGAGCAAACAGGAUUAGAUACCCUGGUAGUCCACGCCGUAAACGAUGAGUGCUAAGUGUUGGGGGGUUUCCGCCCCUCAGUGCUGCAGCUAACGCAUUAAGCACUCCGCCUGGGGAGUACGGUCGCAAGACUGAAACUCAAAUGAAUUGACGGGG
rnacentral:rRNA from 1 species